rnacentral:rRNA from 1 species
UACGUAGGGGGCUAGCGUUGUCCGGAAUCAUUGGGCGUAAAGCGCGCGUAGGUGGCUUCGUAAGUCCGUUGUGAAAGUCAAAGGCUCAACCUUUGAAAGCCGAUGGAUACUGCGGAGCUAGAGUACGGAAGAGGCGAGUGGAAUUCCUGGUGUAGCGGUGGAAUGCGCAGAUAUCAGGAGGAACACCAAUAGCGAAGGCAGCUCGCUGGGACGUUACUGACACUAAGGCGCGAAAGCGUGGGGAGCGAACAGG